UCCCGCGCACGGCACACACCGCCAGCUGCAUCCCACCCAAACCCCCUCCGAUACUCCGGCGGUUGCCGGAAGCACCAGGCCGCCGCCGGCGGGGGCUGCCGCGAAUCCCUUUCCAGCCGCCAUGUACAGCUCCUACUCCGCCGCCGCUUUCGCGCUCAGGGCAGCUAAGCCGUCCUUGCACGCCCAUUCCUCCUACUCCUACUCCUACCUCCCCUCCCACCACUGCCACCGCGACGACGCCGACGAGCACCGCCGCCGCCGCCACCACCACCACGAGCUCCUCCAGCAGAGCCCGUACCUCGCCCCACGCUUCCUGCUCGACGGCUGCCUGCUCCGCCAUUCGGCCCACCUCCUGCUGCUCUCCGCGGGGCUCCGUCCCGCGCCGCCGACGCACCCGCAUCCGCCCCGAUGCUGCCGCCGGCGAGCGUCUGCGAGCUGCUGCUGCGUCGGCGGCAGCGUGAGGCCGGUGGCUGGACAGGUUUCGUGGCAGGUGGAGGCGCGCGGGUGCCGGUGCUGCGGCCACGGCGCUGAGAGGCCGGAUCUUCCGGCGGUUUGCCGGCGAUUGGAGGCGGGCAGGUGCCGUCGCGGUGGCUCCGGAGGUGGGAGGUUGCUUGGAGCUGGUUUUGGACGGCGGGAUGCACCGAGGUUGGUAGGGAGGGCAGUACGGCAGGAGGUGUGGGAGUACGAGGGGGGCGAGUGGCCGCGCAGGAGGUAUUUGACGGAAUGCCAUGAUGAUUGGGAGGACGAAGAGGACUGUGAUCGUGGUCAGUUGGAGGUUGUGCGUUUAGUUAGGAGGAGAAGGGAAGAUGAUGAUGAUGACGAUGACGAUGUCUGUCGAUGUAGGGAUUGUGUUUGGAGAAAGGGCCUGGGAAGCUAUUACAGUGGUGAGGAUGCGUACAAUGGCCGGCGGAGGGAGAGAAGAGAUGUGGAUGAGGACCGGCGCAGUUUCAGGGAUUCUGACCGGAGGCGGCGGCAGCAGAGGGGGUACCAUGACGACGAGGAUGAUCUUGACUUGAGGCGGCAGAGGCAGAGAUGGGAAGGGAGAGAUAAGAGGGAUUUUGACUUCGAUGAUGCAGUAGACACGAGGAGUAGAAGGUACCGUGGUGAUGGAAGGGAAUAUGACCGGAGAAGAGAAAGGAGAGACUUUGACUCCGAUGAUACGAUUGAUAUCAGGAGGGCUAGUCAGCAUGCUGAGGAUGUACGGAAAUCUGAUCGGAGAAAAGGGAGUAGGAUUGAGAUUGAUGAUAAGGUUGAUGACAGGAGAGAAGGGAGGCGCUUUAGCAAUGAUGAUUACAGAUAUGUUUUGAGACACGAGAGAAGUGAAGAUGCUGAUGGAGAGGAUGUUUCACUCUUGAGAUCACAUCAUCGGAAUAACGAAGAGAUUGAUUAUGAUGAGCAAGACCUUGCUGAGCGCAGGUACUACUCUGGAGGGAGGUCUCAGAAGUCUGCCAGAGCAACUUCAUUCCAUGAGGAUGAUUCAAAGAGGGCUUCAAGUUCGAGAAGCACAGUUGAGGCAAGACGUGCAAGGCAGGAGGAGAAUUCAUCCUCAAGGGUGAGGUUGCAUGACAAUGUAGACCGACGAACUGAGCAGACAUAUGAAGAGAGAAACCAACGGCAUUCGGUCGGUCGGUCAAAAGAUGAGAGAGAUACAUAUGAUUAUGAUGAUGCACGGUUUGUCAGAGUAACGGAUGCUAGGACAAAUACGCAAGAUGUCAAGGUUAUAACUGAGGAUGAUUCUAAAUUGACAUCCAGUUCAAAGAACACGUCCAUUUUGAAGCACAGCAGCAAUGUAGAUCAGCAAGCUACAGUACAUAAGGAUGAAUCAAGGAAGAGCUCGCAGAAGAUAAUGGAGAUAUCAGAAGUCCAAGAUUAUCGCACUGAACAUGGUUCUAGCUCACAGAAUUAUCAUCAGGAAGAUAGAGGAAACUAUAUUGAGAAUAGAUCUUCUGUUCAAAAUUCUGCGAAGAUGGCUAGCGACUGUAGAAGACAAGUUGAUCAGGAGAGCCUCAUAAAUGUAACAACUGAUAGCAGUCACAAUGUCAGCAGUGCCUCUCACUCACAGAGAAAUUAUGAUGAAGUAAACCAGACGGAUAUUGAUGGCAGAUCUACUUCCUUACAGAAUAUAAUUCACGUUACAAGAGAUAAGAAGAGGAUUGUGAACCAGCAAGUAAUACAUGAAACAGAUAUAGACGUACAGAAUAUUACACAUGUUGAUGUUUCGAAGAUUCGUGCUAGUGAUACUUCCACGUCUAGAAGUUCACAAAGUCACUCAGAAACUAAAUCAGAUGUGAACCCAACUUCCAACAUGAGUUUCAUUAAUAGCACAAGGAGCCAGGAAAAGGAAGUGUACCAAAAUAAGAUCUUUGCUAGUAAUAGUGCCAUGGUUAGGGGUUCACAAAGUCAUCUCGGUUCUGGACUUUAUGAUCAGUUUCACUCAACGUCAUCUACUAAUAUUGCUGACAACAGAAAGGAAAGUCAAGAACAAGUUGAACUUAAUAUUGCCAAUGCUAGUAAUGCUGUUGUAGCCAGCACUUCGGGCAGUCAUCUCCAAACCAGAGUUGAUGAUCAGUUUCAGUCGACUUCAGAUGUAAAUACAAUUGGCAGUAGGAAAGAACAAAUUGAUCCUGCUAAGAUCCAUGCUAGUGAUGCUGCAGUUGUUAGCAGCUCACAAGGUCUUGUGACUAGAAAUGGCAAUCAAGUUCAUACGGCAUCAGCUGUACAUUGGCCAAGGGAGAAACAAGUAAACAAUGAUAAGCAAAUUACACAAGUUUCUAGUACAGAACGAAAUGAUGAACUAGGAAGAAAAUUUUCUGAAACCUCUCAUGAUUCAAGAGAUAGGAUGGUAAGAUCAGAAGAUACACAUGAUAACAUGGAUUUGAUCUGGCUACAGGCAGACACCAGCGGGAUCUCUGAUGACAAAGGCAUCACUGGUCUACUGUUAGAGAGCACUGGACAGGGAUCAUCUAUGGUUACUGCAGAUAUGGCACAAGGAGCAGAAGUAAUGGGAAGAAAUGGACAAGAAGUAAGAACUGAAACUACUGCAGGAAUUAUCAUGCCAAGUGGUUCAAGUUCCGGGCAGUCUGUCAAGGAAAGCAUGCUAGAGUCAGCUGCUCGAUUAGAGAAAUCUUCUACCUUUCAUGUUGGAAGGUUUGUUGAUGAGCUUCAAAAGGGAGUCUCAGAUGCAGACAAUACAACAAAGAAUCAUGAGAAAUCCAUAGUGGAAGGUACAACACGCUCUUCAUCAAGGUCUAGAAUGAAGGGACCAGCUGAUGAGAUGUGGGAUGUCCAUAGUACUACUUCUCAAGAGACCUUCAAGACAGCCGACAAGGAGGAAGGUUCAUCAGCUGAUGGAGCUACUAAUUCGGCCUCCCAGACACCCAAAAAUGAAUCUGCUCUUGCUAGAAAAGUUCACAGGUCACUCUGGGCUUAUGUUGCUGACAUAAUCCGUCUUGGAUGGAUUCAACGUGGCGACUCUCAUGAUUCUAGUGACAAAUCAGUUAAAAAAAGUUCAUCCAGUAAUUCUCAGAGUACAGAGGGUUGGCUUUCUAGUCAGGAACGUGAUACUGAAAGCACAAGGAAGAAAAAUAAAGCAAAAGAUCAGCAGUUGAUAAUGUCACACAGCGGAGAAUCAGAACCUGGAGUGGCUUCAAUGUCAAAGGAGGAAUAUUUUCACUCUGGUACACAGGAACUGCGAAUAUCAGAAACUGUUAUUGAACCUAAAGUACGUAGAUCUGAGGGAGACUUGUUGGCUGGAAGUUCUAAGGAUGAUCUACAUGUAUCAGAGGAGAGAAUAAAACAAUCUGAUGUAGGUGAAUCACCCGAAGGAAAUAUCAUAGAUGAUAGCACACCGACUUUGAUAGAUGUCACAAUAGGACAUUUACCAGAACAUAAAACUGCUACUUCAUCCAGGAUCACAACAAAGGGUUCAGGUGAGUUUAAUACUGGUAAAGGAAUGUUGGCUGGCAGCUCUUCUGUGACCAUAGGUGCAACGGAAGCUGGUCGCAGUGGUGAUGGAGCUGAUUGGAUAUAUAAUCCUUCAGGUGUUAUAACUCCUUAUCGUCACCCUCAAACACAAGCAGUAGUGCCACACGAAAGUACCUCAACUAGCAUCCAUGAACCACCAGCAUUACCUGUGGGAGGUAUAAGGUUUGAAGAGAAGAAUGUUGUGCAAGAGGCUCCGGAAAUUAUUAAAACAGGGGGGAAAGAUGCGGAAUUGAAGAGGAGGAAUUUUCAAAGAAAUAAACAGGUAUUGAAGGAAACAUUUGAUGAAUGGGAGGAAGCAUACCAGCGUGAUGCUGAGCAGAGGAAGGCUGAUGAGUUAUUCAUGAGGGAAGCUUUACUUGAAGCCCAGAGAGCUGCAGAUAUUUGGGAGGUACCUGUUGGAGCAGUGCUAGUACAAAACGGCGAAAUUAUUGCUCGUGGCUGUAAUUUAGUUGAAGAUCUCAGGGAUUCAACUGCACAUGCUGAAAUUGUUUGUAUAAGAGAAGCUUCUAACAAACUCAAGACAUGGCGCUUGGCGGAGACAACGCUUUACGUGACACUGGAACCUUGUGCCAUGUGCGCUGGAGCAAUUCUUCAAGCUAGAAUCGACACUGUAGUAUGGGGUGCCCCAAACAAGCUUCUUGGAGCCGAUGGCAGCUGGGUUAGGUAUGUUAUACCAGCAUGAAAUUUUAUACCAAUCCACUUUUGUAGUUUAGGAUCUUUAAUCUUUGAAGCGCGACUGCAGAUAUUUGGGAGAUAAUAUGGUUGAAGCAAUGCAGAAUGCACCAGUGACAUAUGGCUAUAUGUAUGGAACAGAUAAACUAUCGAAAUAUUAUUUUAUUAUAGAAAACAAUAAAAAUACUGUCAUAGGAUAAGAACACUAAUAGGGUUCUAACCUGCAAAUAAUGGCAGAGUUACACAUAAGACCUUGCAAAUCUCGGGUGGGACCUAGGUAAAUCCAACCAACCAUACACUAAUGUCAAGCAACAACAGAAUGGUGGAUGUCAUGGGGAAAACUAGUUAGAUCACGGCAGAAAUUAGAUAUAGGGCCUGGUCAUGGGCGUGGCUGCUAUUGCAUGCUGUAUAUGCUGACUGCAACCAAGAGGCCUGGCCAAUAACAGAAUAGUGUCCUAGUUGAAAGGAGAUGGAGUUGCCUCUUCCUUCUUCAACAACAAUUAGCAUCUGCAGCAAAGGCUGUUCCCUGGGGAUGGACAAACAAGCACUCUGGACUCAGCAAACCAGAGUCAGUCCGCGGGGCCUAUCCAUCCUUUCCAUCCGAAGAUAACCAUCAGACGUGGUGUGUUGUCGGCAGAGUGCUCGGAGAUAAUGCAACAGUUCUUCCAGCUGAGGCGGCGGAAGAAGCAGAAGGCGCAGUCGCCACCGCGCGCCCACCACCAGGGGCACCACCAUCCUGUCAAGUUCUUCAGUAAGAUGCACCACAUGUUUGGCACCAUCUUCUGUCUGUAGUAGCUUUGCCUCUCUUUUUUCAGUUUUCCAAUUUUCCGUAUUACAAAAGUCUAGGGUUAAUGUAUUUCGUUCUGUGCGGUAAGUGGUUUCCACUGAGAGCUUGUAGGUAUCAGUUAGUAUUGUGAGAUGAGGGAACCAUCGUCAGCAGUUGUAUUUCCUUGUGCUAAUAAGGGCUGGAGCUGGUAUUCCAAUGUGCAGACGCCAGGUGCGCUGUAUGCGCUUGUUGCA